AAAAAAGGUAUUGUUAUCAAAGGCAAAAAUAAUAAUACUUAUAAAAUGAUCGAACUACAAUUUUUCGUCAACUGUUCAAUUGACCAUUGCAACCUCCAAAAACGAAUAAGCUUAGUUAACUCCAUGAUUUUAAUGUGGGAGCAAAAUUCGACAUUGGCGAAUUUCGAUAAGUACAUACAAAGCAAAAGUGAAACGUCAUUAGGUAUCAAAACAUUUCACUGUGAAAAUGGACGGUACGAUUUUUAACGUCGGUGAAAACAACUUUGCUAGUGAAGCGGGCCUUCAUAUAAUACUACAUAGAAAUCAGUAACAAAUUCUUUGCACAGUUAUCACUAUAAAGAACAACCUAUGCCUGGAAACAAGAAAAAGCACUAAUCUUGGAAUAUCCUCGUUUGUGGGAGCCUGUGGAAGCUCCUGUGAAAUAUAUUUGUUAAAGGAAUGCAAAAAUAUGUGAUCGCCGAUAAUGCUGAUAUUUGCAAAAAGAAUUAGUUUCUUGUAUUCAGUGCGAAGAUCAACCGUCGAGCAUGCCACAUUAGAAACAGUUCUUGUGCUUUCACAUUCUUGAAUUCAAACAGAUAAAGCACAAAUCGAACGACACAGUUCAUAUACGUGAUGGAUUUGAUCGAAACUGUGUUUUCGAACUCAGAGUUAGUUCCAGGAUGUUAGUGUUAGGCGUUCAUUUUUCAAAAGGAUCAAACCACAACAAAGUUUCAAAGAUUAAAAAAAAACUAGCUACCUUCAGCUAUACACAUCUUAACAUUCGAUUUCUUUGAAUGAUGAUGGACUAACGAGUUAUCUCAAAGAGUUGAAGGCAAAUAUCGUCCGGUGUUAGUGUUGGAACAUCAUCAAAGUGUGUUAUUUGAGAACUUUGUAUCGAUUUUCCUGAACAGUUCCAUCGAUUUUCGGCGUAGAGGAAUAAUAUAUGAAUUCACAUCUAUAGAGCAAUUUCAUGAAAGAGUAAUGAAGUUUUUUUUAAGUUUAAUUUAAACAUGUUGUUAUUUACUCUUUGUUCAUCGUAUGUAUUGUAUCAUUGAACGUUUAUCAUUGGAGUUCAUGCAUUAGAAUUAGGAUUUAUUUAUUUUCUAUCAACAUCGUUGUAUCCAGAAUUCAAAUCUGUUAAGUUUCGCUGCUACUAAAUUAUCAAAACACAUGGAAGAAAUCCAAGACUCGGGUUAUCCAGCAGUUAUAAGAUUAGCAAAGGCAUCUAAGGAAAUGUAUGAACAAGCUGGAGUCGAACUAUAGGCAGUAUAUUUCAGUUGUAAUUUCCGGUGUGAAUGUUGGCCAUAGGUAUACUCAGAUAAAAGCAGCGGUUGGCAGUUAACAAAAGUUCUUGCGGGUUCCAAUUUCAACAAAUUUAUGAUAGUCCAUCUUUAUUACUAACUGUUCGGAAGAUGUGUUUAAACACUAGCAAAAUAAGACAGCCUAGUUGACAUUUUGGAAGGAACUGAAGUUUUAGUAUAAUUAGAAUGUUCUAAACCAAACAGCAAUUAGAUUUUAGUUCGCGUCAUUAUAUCAGUUAAGCCUUUAAAACUCUGACCGCUAAAAAUUAAAAAAUAGAUUAUCAAUAUUAUAUAUAUAUUUUUUUCUUAUAUUAUUUUUUUUCUUUUCUUAAAAAUAACACAAUUACAAAAUUCAUUACGAGUUACAUUUGAAAGGCGAAAAAUCAGGAUCAAAACUUAAUAUUUAAUUUAACAUACUUCGACUGUCGUGUUUUGUUUUCCUGAUUUUCCAGAUUUUUUCUGUAUUUAAUCUGUGAUGUAUCAACGAUGCAACGAAAAAACUCUUCAAAUCGUGGCAGCUUGGUAGAACUAUUGGGAUCGGCAAAGAGCUUAAAUAUUUCGAAUAAACUUUUCCUGAAUUUUCGAUCCCUUCGUCUUGCAGUUGCGUGUAGCAGGAAUCUAACGUCACGAAGUAAUAAAAAAAAUCUGCAGAAGGAUAAUUAUGUGAUGUUUCUGUUUGCUUCUGUAAUAAAACAGUAUAGCGGCUCAUUUGUAAAUCAAACGGAACUUGAGUUGUGCAAACCGAUAGACAAUCGUUACAUGCUUUUUUACGCAUGAUUGAAGUUGCGAUUAUUUUAUGGCAACGGUCAAACAAACCAUUCAGUUUAGAAUUGUCUUUAUAUGAAACAAUAUGACUCCCAUAAACCACUGGAUCGAUUAAAGCGAAGUCAUAAGGAUUAUCUCCGGAAUUUUGAGCUGAAACAUCAGGAACACAUUCAAAAACCGUCUCCAUUGAUGAAUCUAUUGCCUCCGUCGCAGAAAAGCUUUGUUUUGAUGACGAUGCCAAGCCACGGUCUGUGGCAGUUAACGAAUCUCCCGAAUCAUUGAUUGUUUUAUUUCGACUCCUAUCCUUCAACAGGUCAUUGAACGAAAUGAGGUGAUUUCGGUCAUCAACGUCAUAUGAACUGCCAUUUGGGACGUGCAUGCAUUGCGACAGAGAAACAGUGCGCAAAUGCUGCUUCAUUUGGAGUGCCGUUGGUCGUUUUUGUUUCGAGCGAAUGAUAGAGAAAACAUUCUCCAGACAAUCUUGCGUGCAUCGCGAUGUAUAAAAAACAGAGUAAUUCAUAACAUUGAACAAAUGUGAUUGAAGUCUUAGAACUGCUUUAGUGGCAAUAAC